CAUCAACGUAGUUCAAGUAUCCCUGUCUCAGGGUAAAGAAGAAAACAGAAAGUCAUGAUAUCUUUUCUAAGGCAAAAAUCUGCACCUGGACCAAAAAAUCAUUUAUUCCAGCGUCACCUUCCUAACAGUAUCUGCCUGAGAAAGGCCAUGUGAACAAUGUACAGGGUAAUAAUGUUCUCCCUGCUUGUUCUUAAAGUUUCUGCUACUGGUUUUGAAAGAGGAUGAGCAAAAUUAAAUAUCCAGGGUGAACCUCACCAUAGGAUCUGCAGUUUUGCUUACCCUUGGCUGCAGAAGAGCCCUCAGCCUUGCAUAGAUGGAAGUAAACAGGGAGAAAGGUGCCAUCCAGACCAGCUGAACUACAGGGUGAUGAUGGAGCAGAGCAGCAGUCACACCGUGGGGGUCUCAACUGCUUUUUGUGUCCUGGGAAAUGAGAGCAAUUCUUUCUAUCAUAUUCAGAAAGAAAAUGAAAAGGACGUGAUGGCUCCAGAGCAGCGUUUUGCAGAACUCCUGACUCGGCACAGGAAGAUGGGUGGGGUGACACCCCCGGCCCGCAUCUCUUCGCUCGUGUAGCACCGAGCAGGGAACCCCCUGGAGCUCCACCUCAGCAGCACUGCUCACCUGGCCAAGGUCUGCAGCAAAGACGCAGUGCAGGAAGGAGAACUUGGUGCCUCUGACUCGCUUGAGGUCUUCUGCCUUUUCAGCAUCGUCCAAGAGGCUUGGUUCUGCUUCUAAAUCUAUAAAAUUACACUCAUUUCCUACUAAAAAAUAAUCCUCUCCACCCAUCCACAUACUGAGCACACUAAGAGAUCCUUAGCUAUUUCUCUGACUACAUCAAAUUUUUUUUCUAACACGAAAUAAAUAUCUUUUCAAAAUCA
rnacentral:lncRNA from 1 species